AGAAGAGUAAAAUAAGAGAAAAAUGAUAGUAGGGCUGGGUGUGGUAGAAAAAUGUGAAAAAGAAAAAGAAAAAAAGAGAAAAAGAAAGAAAAAAAUAAAAGAAACCGCACCCAACCUAAAUGUACAUUAAAGAAUAAAAGGGAGAAAAAAAGGUAGAAUAAAAGGAAAUUAGUUAAAGUGUGGACCCCAGAGUUAGUGUAGUGCAAAGGAGGCUUAUUCACUUAAUAUAUCCAUAUGUACUAUACCAUCCCC
rnacentral:lncRNA from 1 species